rnacentral:lncRNA from 1 species
AGUGAAGUUCUGUUUCCCAGUUACCAACAGUUCUGGAAUGCCCCAGCCAGCAACAGAUUCUGGUCCACAGUCUAUUAGUAAUUGAGCACUCAAAGAAUAGGUGGUUAAAGUCUUCAACAUUUUGAUUGCAAUACACACAAGUUGCUGGGACUUGUAUGCCAUAGUUCUGCAGUCUGUCAACUGUAGGAAGUCUGUGUUGAGCAGCUAGCCAUACACUGAACUUAUGUCGAGGUUGG